rnacentral:rRNA from 1 species
GUCGACGAUUUGGCGGACGGGUGAGUAACGCGUGGGAACAUACCCUUUCCUGCGGAAUAGCUCCGGGAAACUGGAAUUAAUACCGCAUACGCCCUACGGGGGAAAGAUUUAUCGGGGAAGGAUUGGCCCGCGUUGGAUUAGCUAGUUGGUGGGGUAAAGGCCUACCAAGGCGACGAUCCAUAGCUGGUCUGAGAGGAUGAUCAGCCACAUUGGGACUGAGACACGGCCCAAACUCCUACGGGAGGCAGCAGUGGGGAAUAUUGGACAAUGGGCGCAAGCCUGAUCCAGCCAUGCCGCGUGAGUGAUGAAGGCCUUAGGGUUGUAAAGCUCUUUCACCGGAGAAGAUAAUGACGGUAUCCGGAGAAGAAGCCCCGGCUAACUUCGUGCCAGCAGCCGCGGUAAUAAUCUCUAGA